GGCGAACGGGUGAGUAACACGUGGGCAAUCUGCCCUGCACUCUGGGACAAGCCCUGGAAACGGGGUCUAAUACCGGAUACUGACCCGCUUGGGCAUCCAAGCGGUUCGAAAGCUCCGGCGGUGCAGGAUGAGCCCGCGGCCUAUCAGCUUGUUGGUGAGGUAAUGGCUCACCAAGGCGACGACGGGUAGCCGGCCUGAGAGGGCGACCGGCCACACUGGGACUGAGACACGGCCCAGACUCCUACGGGAGGCAGCAGUGGGGAAUAUUGCACAAUGGGCGAAAGCCUGAUGCAGCGACGCCGCGUGAGGGAUGACGGCCUUCGGGUUGUAAACCUCUUUCAGCAGGGAAGAAGCGAAAGUGACGGUACCUGCAGAAGAAGCGCCGGCUAACUACGUGCCAGCAGCCGCGGUAAUACGUAGGGCGCGAGCGUUGUCCGGAAUUAUUGGGCGUAAAGAGCUCGUAGGCGGCUUGUCACGUCGGUUGUGAAAGCCCGGGGCUUAACCCCGGGUCUGCAGUCGAUACGGGCAGGCUAGAGUUCGGUAGGGGAGAUCGGAAUUCCUGGUGUAGCGGUGAAAUGCGCAGAUAUCAGGAGGAACACCGGUGGCGAAGGCGGAUCUCUGGGCCGAUACUGACGCUGAG
rnacentral:rRNA from 1 species